ACGGCUCAGUAACACGUGGCUAACCCACCCUUGAGACGGAGAAAACCCCGGGAAACUGGGGUUAAUCUCCGAUAAGAGAAGACACCUGGAAUGGGUCUCCUCUCAAAGGGCGCCUAGACCAUGCUUCUAGGCGUUGCUCAAGGACGAGGCCGCGGCCGAUCAGGUUGUUGGUGAGGCAACGGCUCACCAAGCCUAUAACCGGUACGGGCCGUGAGAGCGGGAGCCCGGAGAUGGGCACUGAGAUAAGGGCCCAGGCCCUACGGGGCGCAGCAGUUGCGAAAACUCCGCAAUGCACGAAAGUGUGACGGGGCUACCCCGAGUGCCGUCCGCUGAGGACGGCUUUUCCCCGGUGUAAGGAGCCGGGGGAAUAAGGAGAGGGCAAGUCUGGUGUCAGCCGCCGCGGUAAUACCAGCUCUCCGAGUGGUAGGGAUGAUUAUUGGGCUUAAAGCGUCCGUAGCCGGCCCGGCAAGUCUUCCGUUAAAUCCAACGAUUCAAUCGUUGGACUGCAGGAGAUACUGUUGGGCUAGGAGGCGGGAGAGGCCGACGGUAUUCUCGGGGUAGGGGUAAAAUCCUAUAAUCCCGGGAGGACCACCAGUGGCGAAGGCGGUCGGCUAGAACGCGCUCGACGGUGAGGGACGAAAGCUGGGGGAGCGAACCGGAUUAGAUACCCGGGUAGUCCCAGCUGUAAACGAUGCGGGCUAGGUGUUGGGGCGGCUACGGGCCGCUUCAGUGCCGCAGGGAAACCAUUAAGCCCGCCGCCUGGGGAGUACGGCCGCAAGGCUGAAACUUAAAGGAAUUGGCGGGGGAG
rnacentral:rRNA from 1 species